rnacentral:lncRNA from 1 species
CCCGUCGCACUUAAAUCUUGUGAAAUCACUAGUUAAACGUUACCAUUUGUAAAUGUCAACUUUUACCAUCUCGGGUACUCACAAGUGCCACACUGCAUGUUCAUAACUAAUCGCAAUUUGGAGCUUUUUUUUCAUACAUUCGCUUAUUUAAAAUGAUUUAUCUUUUGUACCGUGCAUUCAAAUACCAAAUCGUUUUCAUUGUUAGAUUUCUAAACUAGGUCUCACGCUAAUAGUUCCCGGUGAACUAUUUUCUCAUGAAAAAACACAAAAACAAGAAAAGAAAACA